rnacentral:rRNA from 1 species
CGGGUGCACUGAUCCAGCCCGGGCCCUCUCCCUCUGUGGAACCCCCAUGGCCUUCACUGGGUGUGGCGGGGAAACAGGACUUUACUUUGAAAAAAUUAGAGUGCUCCAGGCAGGCCUAUGCUCGAAUACAUUAGCAUGGAAUAAUAGAAUAGGACGUGUGGUUCUAUUUUGUUGGUUUCUAGGACCGCCGUAAUGAUUAAUAGGGACAGUCGGGGGCAUCAGUAUUCAAUUGUCAGAGGUGAAAUUCUUGGAUCUAUUGAAGACUAACUACUGCGAAAGCAUUUGCCAAGGAUGUUUUCAUUGAUAAGGAACGAAAGUUAGGGGAUCGAAGACGAUCAGAUACCGUCGUAGUCUUAACUAUAAACUAUGCCGACUAGGGAUCGGACGAUGUUAUUCUUUGACGCGUUCGGCACCUUUCGAGAAAUCAAAGUGCUUGGGCUCCAGGGGGAGUAUGGUCGCAAGGCUGAAACUUAAAGAAAUUGACGGAAGGGCACCACCAGGGGUGGAACCUGCGGCUUAAUUUGACUCAACACGGGGAAACUCACCAGGUCCAGACACAGUGAGGAUUGACAGAUUGAGAGCUCUUUCUUGAUUCUGUGGGUGGUGGUGCAUGGCCGUUCUUAGUUGGUGGAGUGAUUUGUCUGCUUAAUUGCGAUAACGAACGAGACCUUAACCUCCUAAAUAGCCCGUACUGCUUUGGCAGUUCGCCGGCUUCUUAGAGGGACUAUCGG